CCUCGCAUUAAUGUCCUUCUCGUACACUCUGGCGGCGGGGGCGGUCGUCGAUCUGCCCAUUCUGAUGUCUUCCUUGUGCUCAUUUGGUCUCUUCUCUGGCUCUCUCCUUGUGCUACCUAUAUGGGCCUCUUCUUCUCCGUGGUCGUUGUUGUGCGCAGGAGCCUCAUAUGUCCCACAUCUCUUAUUGGCAUCUGCUCUGUCCUUGUCGUUUCGUGGGAUGUUGAAUAGGGACGGGCCUCUCUUCUUUACCAUCUUUUUGUUCGUUCUCUUCAUCGUUCUACCGAGGAUCCGAUCGGUGGCAGGGUAGUAGUGACUUGAGAGUAAGUUGUCCUGCUUUCCUCAUGUGUAUCUGUCUUCCUGGUCGGCUCUUCUUCACAUUUCUUCCUAAUUCUGUCCACCAGUUUCUCUAACAUUCUCCUAUUGUAUCCAUAUUUAACACCCAUAUCCAAGAUAUAACUUAUCUCCUUCUUCCUUUCUUUCCAUCUGGUAACGUGCGUGAACGCUCUAGUGACCAUCGCCUGAAAUGCAGCUAGUUUGUAGUUCAUCGGGUCCCGCGACCAGACUAGUUUAGAGUAGAAACCUAUAAAGCAUCAGAGCCACAGGGGCUUGCUCCAGAGAUGGGUAUAGUG
rnacentral:lncRNA from 1 species